rnacentral:lncRNA from 1 species
AUGACAAGUUGUGACAGGUGGCUUGAUGUAGGGCUGGCAUUGCAACCUGCUGCAGACAGCACUAGAUUUGGUGAGUUUCAACUAGUUUUCCUCUUUCUCUAUUUUCUUUUUUUCAUCUUUAGUCUUCACAUGUCUAAAUUUAGUAUAAACUUUAGUAUAGUAAUAUUGUGUUACAUUGCUAUGAAUGCUUUAUAUGAGGAUGUGGUAUGUGUGAAAUGUAGAAAAUUUAUUUUUAUUUUGUGGUAUUUUUUUAGGAAAGCUAAUAUUAAUAUAGCGUCUUCACCCACGUUGACCACAAUUUGAUGUUUAAUGGCAUGAUAAGCUAGAGCAGAUAAUGAACUUGCUGUAAAUGUCACCUUUUGGGUGCUAUUGAUCUAUUUAUGUAUGGAACUUUUAAACAGGACCGUUUGAGUAGGAAUCGUUUUUAUCAGAUUAAAAAGUAGUAUUUUCCACUUUGACACAAUAUAAUGUAGUAAAUGCAGAUUUCCAGUGUAUUUAUUAAUUAACACAAACAAAUGUUAUAAUAACUAUAAUAACUAUUUAUAAACCUUUUUAAAAAUAAAAUGCAAAAUAAUUUUUAUUUAUUUAUUUAUUUUUUUAUUUUUUAUUUUAGUGCUCUGUAUGCUUAAGGCGGCAAUGUACUGUAUGAUUCGAGGGCAUGCAAACUUUUCAGCAAAAUAUGUAUAAAUUAAGUUGUUAUUUUCUCUGGUGGAAUAUAUGUAACUGUCUUUUAUGUCAAAAUGAUUCUUUGCAGUUAAAAAAUGGGUUUUAUGAUCCUACUUAUUUAAAAGUUAUACAUAUGCAUCUUGCAGUUUAAGAUCUCAUUGUAUUGCCUUGAUAAACCUCAUGUUGAAGAUCCCAUCUGCAUAGUGGAUUUUAGAGAAGUGUGACAAUUCACGUUUAACUUAACGUUAAUCUUCUUAAUCUAAGAUCUGAGAUUAGAUUAGAUUAGACAGGUGCAUCAUAUGGAAAAUGAUGAAAUAUAAAGAAAGGGUCAGAGUGCUCCAGAACUGAACAUUUAUUGCUCCCGGAGGAGAACCAGACAGUAAAUAAGUGAAGUAAUCUUGUUUUCUCUUUUUCCUGAUUCUAUUCACUUUUAUGUUCUCCUCUGUGGCUUUGUUCGUAACAAAGAUAUUGAUCCAGACCAUGACCCUGCACAUACACUCUCACUAAUUACAAAUGUUCACGGUGACCCCGUUCUUGACGCUAAAAUACCCCAGCUAGGCGUGCAGUGUAUGUAACAAAUGGAAAAACAACAAAAUCUCUGCACAACACGUCUGAGAGUUCACCCAAGAGCUGUUGAAUUAGGAAAAUGUAGCACUUGAAAAAAGGCAUUUGUGAGUCAUGAAGCAAGCGUGAGGCUUUGUCAACACCACAAAACUGAGGUUUCCACUAAAUAGUCCAUACACAUAGGCAACGGUAACGGAAUAUAGAGUAUUUUAGUGCUUCCUGUUUAUUCGGCCUUGUGGAGUCUUUGCGUUUACUUUUUGGGCAGUUGCGAAAAAAAGUGACGUCAGAGCAAAAGUAAGAGACUAUUUGUCAAACAGGCACAGUGUCUUGCGCAAGUCCUGUAAAUGUGACAACUUGGAUGUUUUCUUGACUUCGACAGCGAGAGAGAGACCAGAGAGAGUCUCAGCAAUUGUUUUAAAAUCCAUACUGCAGCAAUAUGAAGAACUCUGUGUGAAUGAAGAAGCCAGUUAUGCUGUUGUGAGGUAUUUAAAAAUUUCAUUUAUUCUACGUUAACUUAUGUAAAAGAUGCUUUGACAUCUUGAGUACUCAUAAGUGUACACUGUGUAUCAAGCUACUGAGAUAAUAUAAAGUAGCUCUUUAUUUUCAGCUUUAAUUAAUCAUUGAUGUCUAUAAAUCCUAAAGAAAACUAUCCGUUAAUCUCAACUGGUAAAGUCCCAAGUGUAAAUCCUGAUGUGUAGCAUGAAAGGCAACAAAUAACUAAAGCUACAAGCUCAUUUCAUGUGUUUAAAAAGAUAGUUCACCCAGAAAUUAAUUUUCAUGAACUCACUCUCAUAUCCUUCUUUCUUCUGUGGAAGACAAAAGAAGAUAUUUCAAAGAAUGUUAGGGAACAGCGUUGAACCCUAUUAACCUUUGAUAUAUAUAUAUAUAUAAAAACACUAAGACAUUUAAUUUUUGGUGAACUAUCCCUUUAAGCACGCUCUAAAAACAACUUGUGUAUCUGUAAAACGUCUACUAUAAUGUAACAAGUUAUUAGCAAUAGCUUUUGCUGCCAGACAAUGUAGCUAAAACAUUCACCAGCAGGAAAUAUCAGAGCUAUGCUUUCGAGCCAAACCUUCGUUCCGUGGCAUAAAUGGUGAAAUGUGAAAUUCAUGCACUACUAGCCUCAACAAACACAACUAGUAAGCUAAUUUAUAUUUGAGACUCACACCAAUAUUUUAAUGUUAAUGAACAAAGGUACUUGUCGGGAUGCUAAAAAAAAAUCAUAAUGUUUUGAUAGCGCCACACUGUCAUCCUGCUGGGAUAGGAGAAAGUAUGGUAGCAUUCAAAACAUAACAUGCAUCACCUUUAGCUACUAAAUCUAGCUGUAGGACUGAAUGGCAUUGUAUGUAUCAGAUUGUGUGUAGGUUAAUAAGUGCAAGAUGCUGUAAGGAGGUACUCAGGCAGAUGUGCAUUAGCUAAUGUUGCCUGAACGCAGCUGGGUUGGGCAGGGCUAAUAGACGGACCAUAACACUAUGACAUCAUCAAGAGAGUGGGGGAAGCUGGGCUGAGAGAGAAAGAGAGAGAGAGGGAAUGAAGAAGAGAGGGAGGGAUUAAGCAAGCCACAGUAAGGGACAGAGCAACUGUCAGAAAGCAGAGAGAGGCAGAGAGGACGGAGGGCUAGACUCAGUCCGCACAGAACCCUGCGGAUUUCUCCUUUGCUUCCACUGCAUCUUUCCUUUUACCUUUCCCUUUCCCUAGCCAUCCCCUCCUUCCCCUCCCUCUUCCCCCCCACUGUCCUCUCCGCUAAGCAAGCCACAUAAGGGACAGAGCAACUGUCAGAAAGCAGAGAGAGGCAGAGAGGACGAGGCUAGACUCACGUCCGCACAGAACCCUGCGGAUUUCUCCUUUGCUUCCACUGCAUCUUCCUUUACCUUCCCUUUCCCUAGCCCAUCCCCUCCUUCCCCUCCCUCUUCCCCCCCACUGUCCUCUCCGC